CUUCCCCUCCGUCUCUUUUCACAGUUGUAACCACACAAAGGUAUACAUAUCAUUCAAGCUACAAAAGAUAAUCCGACAAAGAAAACUCAAAAGACAAUAUUUUUCUCAUAAACCAGGUUGAAGCAUCAUUUGGUUUCGUGAAUCCGACAAAGAUAGUGUUUAAUUCUCCAAGAGUCUAUUAAGUCAAUCCCUACAGUAACGGAAAUGAAGGGAGUGUCUUGUAAGAUAGUACAAUUAUACUCUAGAACAUGUCAGAGAUCUUCUUUCAGGUGCUUCAUAAAUUCAUUCUACUCAUUACGUUAUUGUUCAUUAAUCUCAUCUAUCAUCUAUUGAACAGAUCAUAAAAAAGGCUCUUAAAAAAGGUUGCUACAUUUUUAUAAAGUGAGAGAUGGAAGGACGUUGCACUACAACUAACCAGCGAGUCGAACUAGAUGCAACAAUUCAAUUGCAGUAAUGUUAAAAGAAGGGUUUUUUUUUUA